rnacentral:rRNA from 1 species
GACGAACGCUGGCGGCGUGCCUAAUACAUGCAAGUUGAGCGCUGAAGGUUGGUACUUGUACCAACUGGAUGAGCAGCGAACGGGUGAGUAACGCGUGGGGAAUCUGCCUUUGAGCGGGGGACAACAUUUGGAAACGAAUGCUAAUACCGCAUAAAAACUUUAAACACAAGUUUUAAGUUUGAAAGAUGCAAUUGCAUCACUCAAAGAUGAUCCCGCGUUGUAUUAGCUAGUUGGUGAGGUAAAGGCUCACCAAGGCGAUGAUACAUAGCCGACCUGAGAGGGUGAUCGGCCACAUUGGGACUGAGACACGGCCCAAACUCCUACGGGAGGCAGCAGUAGGGAAUCUUCGGCAAGGGACGAAAGUCUGACCGAGCAACGCCGCGUGAGUGAAGAAGGUUGUCGGGUCGUAAAACUCUGUUGGUAGAGAAGAACGUUGGUGAGAGUGGAAAGCUCAUCAAGUGACGGUAACUACCCAGAAAGGGACGGCUAACUACGUG